CGAGCACGCGCGUGUGGCAUAUCAAUAAGCGGAGGAAAAGAAACUAACAAGGAUUCCCCUAGUAACGGCGAGUGAAGCGGGAAGAGCUCAAAUUUGAAAUCUUCAAGGGUUUCCCUUGACGAAUUGUAGUUUAAAGAAGUGUUUUCUGUUAGAGAGGUGGUAAAAGUUCUUUGGAAUAGGACAUCAUAGAGGGUGAGAAUCCCGUAUUUGAUCACUUUCUACUAACGUUGUGAUACACUUUCAACGAGUCGGAUUGUUUGGGAAUGCAGUCCAAAAUGGGUGGUAAAUUUCAUCUAAAGCUAAAUAUUGGCGAGAGGCCGAUAGCGAACAAGUACCGUGAGGGAAAGAUGAAAAGAACUUUGAAAAGAGAGUUAAACAGUACGUGAAAUUGUCAAAAGGGAAGCGUUUGACACCAGUGUUGUUUUUCCGAAAAUCAAUUACGAAUGUUUUAUUUUUGAGGAGUUAUGACUUCAUCGGCUUGCUCCUUUCUUUAUGAAACUUUCUUAAUGCACUUUUCGGUUAACAAGUCAACAUCAAUUUCUUUUGUUGUAAAAGGGUAUGAGGAAGGUGGCUUUCUUUUCGGAGAAAGUGUUUAUAGCCUUGUACCUCUGCAAUCGGAGAGAUUGAGGUCUGCAGCGUAGAUCCUUCGGGGUUAGGUACAUUUGUGCUAAGUUAUAGGCUUUUCAUAGACAACUUGUUGACUAUGUUUAGUCUUGUAGCUUACUCGCUUAUGCUAUUUUACCUACGCUUAGGAUGUUGAUGUGAUACUGCGAGCA
rnacentral:rRNA from 1 species